UCUAUCCAGCCCACGCUUUAUUUUGCUGUAGGUACAGAACUCUCCAUAGAAACUCUGUUAGCUUAGUAUCUCUAGACAAGCAGUCCCAGUGAGAGAGAUUCAGCAAGAUUCGUGUGAUGAUGAUGACGGUGGGGAAGAAGAACGAGAAAGAGAAGAAGAGCAAAGAGGAGGAGAAAAGGGACACACGGAGCAAGGCAGAGAGAUAAAAAACCGAAGAGAGCAGCCAAGAGAGAAAGAGAAAUUUGGACGGGACUGUUAGAAAUCUGCUCUCUACUUCUCAGCUUCUUUCCCGGGAUUGGGUUUCAUUUCUUUCGGCGCCCCUGACCUUGCAGUCUUCCAACUCUCCACGCUGCCCCCCUCCUCCCGCCCGCCCGCCCCCUCCCCCGGCCUGCGCCUGCCUUUGUGUCUGCCUGUCACUUACCGGGGAACCCGACGAAGCAGAUUCGGGAGAAGCACAAAGCCAGGGCACAGAUUUGCCCACAAAUUCUCUUACACACAUUCCCCAGGCUGGAAGAUCCAGCCCGACGCGGAGCUGCUGUACCUUGAGAAAAGUGGGUUCGGGUCUUGUUGGGGGAACCAGAGAAACUAUUCUUCCCUCUCUCGCUCAGCACGACUAACAAAACGCGCGGACUUCAGGAAAAAACAAAACCCCACUGAGUGGACUCCAGUCCCAGACGCUGUGACACUCGCUGAGCGCGCCCCCCGAAAAGGGGACGCGGGGCAGAAAGGGGCGGACGCAAUCGCACACCCAGACCCAGACCCCCAGCGGAGAAAAGGGUCGAAGCUGCUCUGUCAGGGUUCUUCCCGGGGUGGGUGAGCAUAAACCAGAGACUCCUUUGCCUUCCACGAAGGGAAGGGGGUGGGGAAGAUUCCAGGGAAAAGUCGUGCCCCCCAAAGCUGAACUAUUUUAGAAAGGCAAGCAGAGAAAAAUCACUUUCCGGAGGAUAAAAGGCCGGGAAAGCGGCCGGCCGGACUCACAAAGGAAAUGACUGAGAAUCUGAAAUUUAUAUGAGAAAGACAGAAAGCAAGAAAUAGGCUUUUUACUGCAACACUCAGUGCUAAAUGGAAGAAACAGAAGUUCUAAACUUGAAUAAACAAAUUUAAGGAGAGCAUGACAAGAUUAGUAUUCAGUUCAUGGGUGUUUCUGUAACUUUCUAAAGUAGUAAGAGGUAAGAAAACAGGUAAGAAAAAUGAAAGGAAGUAUUAAACUUGGCUCUUCUUACUUCAAAUCCUCAAGUCUAAAAAAAAGUUUAAGAAACACAAUUUUAAUGUCUUGGUGGAAAACCAGAGACAACCUGGUGGGGGGUUGAGGUGGGGGGAUGGGAGGCCCCAAGCUCUAUACUUUUAAACCAUUCCUUCAUUUUUGUUGAAUUACACAUCUUUUAUUUCUAAUAUGUAUUUGUUGUGAAGAAAAGAGGGCCGAGUUUUCGGCUGAGGGCUUAUUCCUCUUCCUCAGAAUGCAAGAAAAACACAGAAAGAGGAAAAUUAUGACCUAAUGCAAAAUUUCCUUCAAGGCAACUAUGUUCAUUUCAUGGUAGGAAGCAGCUGACAACGAGGUUUGAGUUGCAGGAGAGAAGCAUAUUUGUCUCCCAGCCAAGUGGCUUUAAAUGCCUCUAUCAUCAAAGGAGGAACCAAGCUGCACCUCACAUCUAUGCAACUUAAGCAUAAAGAGGCUGGAUCAUCUGCAUAGUAUACUAACAACCCAGAUAUUUGAGAUGACAUCUAUUUCAAAUUGGGAUUCUGCAGCAAAUUAUGAAGGGAAUACCAUUUAAAAAACUCUGAAACUCAUGGACUUGGAGAACAGACUUGUC